rnacentral:tRNA from 1 species
UCCCAAGUAGUUCAGGUGGCAAAGAAUCUGCUUGCAAUGCAGGAGACCCCGGUUCAAUUCCUGGUUUGGGAA